GUGGGGAAUAUUGCGCAAUGGGCGAAAGCCUGACGCAGCGACGCCGCGUGUGGGAUGACGGUCUUCGGAUUGUAAACCACUGUCGGGAGGGACGAAGCUCUGACGGUACCUCCAAAGGAAGCACCGGCUAACUCUGUGCCAGCAGCCGCGGUAAUACAGAGGGUGCAAGCGUUGUCCGGAAUCACUGGGCGUAAAGGGCGCGUAGGCGGCCUGAUAAGUCGGGGGUGAAAUUCUGCGGCUUAACCGCAGGACGGCCUUCGAGACUGUCGGGCUUGAGCACGGUAGAGGCUGGUGGAAUUCCCGGUGUAGCGGUGGAAUGCGUAGAGAUCGGGAAGAACAUCGGUGGCGAAGGCGGCCAGCUGGGCCGUUGCUGACGCUGAGGCGCGACAGCGUGGGGAGCAAACAGGAUUAGAUACCCGAGUAGUCC
rnacentral:rRNA from 1 species